CCUGUCUGACACACUGCUUUUCUUCUAGCUGGAACAAACCGUCCUCUGGGGGGAAAGGAGACGAGGGUGAACCUGCAGGGGAUGUUGCUGUUGCUGGGAAAGGCCGAUCCUGUCUCCCAGAAGACCCAACAAGAUGAACACACCUGAAAGGGGAUGGAAAAGACCAGCAGAGAGAGCAAAAUUCAGUUUUUGACUGACUCUUGUAGCCUCACAGCUGGAGAAACAAGGCCCCAGACACCACCCUGACCAGCCACUUCAAGGCCCGGCAAACUUGUCCCAACAAUGGGCCAUUUCUGUAGCCAAUUUCGAUUGGACGUAUUCCUGGAGGGGUCUUCACAUGACAUCAUCUUUGCAAAAAAUGGAGCCAGGGCCAGCUGAGCCGGACUCUUCUCUGACAGAGACGAAAAGAGCGAGAGAAAGAGGCGAGAGAAGAAAGAAGAGGGGGAAGGAAAAGACGAGCACAAGGGAGGGGGAAGGAGCAGGAAGUCCACGUCUCACCUCCCCAGCCAUGUUUGGGAUUUAGCCAAAGCCAGCAGAGGUGGCAACGUCACCCGGGUCCCUCUGUCUGGCCUGAUCCCAGCUGAGCUCCAAGGCCCAAGACAAUGAAGCCCCAAUGAUGUCAUGGCAGUUGGAUCACCAACUCUCCAGGACCCCCUUAGAACCUCCAGGAAUUAAAGAGGAAUCUUUCAUUAACAAUUCUGUCUUGUGAUGAAACCUCCAGGAAUAUGUCCAACCAGAAUUGGCAACCCUACCUGGUGCAAUGCAGGAGACGAUACAGGUGGCUGCCAUUAUGGUGAAACUUGCUCCCAUCUGCCCAUCCGGCCUCUUCAUCGCCACCCCAGAGUUCUCUCUAAAACAGGGCAGUGGCCAAGCUAGUCCCUUCCCUCCUGGUUUUGUCGACCAAUCAGGCCUCCAAUUUUAUUAUCUGCUAGGGACUUCCUCCAUUAAGAUAAUGUUUGAUCCCGGCAGCGUGCUCUGUGGAUAUAUAGCUGGAGUUGGGAGGGGGCGUUUGUCACAUGUUACCUACCAGCUCUGUGUUCAGCCUGUAUCCAGCCUGUCUGACUCACAAAGGACCUCCCCCCACCCCAAAGCUCUGCUUGAAUCCAAACAGCUCAGAAGAAAGACUUACAAAAAGCAAUGAAAAGGCAGGGGGAGACACACCUAAGCCCCUCCGGACAAGGGUGACAGGAUUAAGAAAACUCCCCCAGCCUCGAUUGCAUCAAAGAUGGGACGCAGAGUCACCUCCAUUAGCGCACAGAAUGGAGAACAGACAUUCCAAAGCAAGAACCGCACUGAACUCUGGGACCAGGAAAGCGGGGAAGCAGUGCAUGGUGUGAAAUCUCUGCUCCAGAUGUUGAUGACCCCACGCCUGCGCACACCCAGCUCAGCAGUUAUCUGACCAAUUCUAGUAAUAAAUCCUCUACUGGUAUCCAAUAUACUGAAGCUGCCCAAUGGCAUUAUGAGCUCCCGCGAAGGGACACCGCCCAUAGCCGGGAAUGAUCAGUUCUUAUUGUCUAGCCUGAGCAAAACAGCUUUGAAAUACUCCCUUAAAUCAUUAGUUUACCCACCAAGAAAUCUAGUGUCUCCCUUGAACCAUUGCUCUUUUCCUACAACCCCCCCCCCCCAUACACGCUCAAGUGAGUGUUCUGAUGCCUGGAUCCAAAAUCUGCAUCAGCUACAUUGGGACUUUAUCUUCUCCUGACUGAUGGUGCUGGGAGCUCUGCUUGUCUCCAGCACUCCAGACUCUCAGCUACCACCAGCACCUGGGAACCCUGGUCGAUUCAAGCUUCACGGAGAGCCAACAGCGGUGUGGUGUUGGACAAAGAACAGGAGCAGAUGCUGGAAAGCGGUCAGACGGAGGCGUUUGUCUCUAAUAGCUAAUUUUGAUUCCAUUAGGAAUCUAGCUAGAGGCUGCUGAGCUGAACUCACUUUGGGCCAAUGGUGCACCAGCACUGGGGCUCUCCUACUACAAGCUGAAACCACUAAAAGAGAUAAAAUUACUGAGCUGCAAUCACUGAGUGUGUGUUAACUAGUGGGGGAGCCUGAAGAUAUAUUGCUGAGCAGUUUGCAGGACGGUUGGAGCAGCAAGUGCAACGGAGCUGAGCAGUUUGCAGGAUGGCUGGAGUGGUUCAUGGGAUGGCUGGUGGAAUGGAGCAGCUGGUGGAGCAGAGCAGCUUCUGGGACAGUUGGAGCAGCCCACGGAACAGCGAG